AACAAAUCAACUUUUCAGUUUUUAGAUACAAAUUUUAACUAUUCGUCUUAUUAAAAAAAAUUUAUGAUUAAUAGUUUAUUUUUAUUAGAUGAUAAAACAUCAAUAAUACUUUAUGUGUGACUAAUUUUUUAAAAAUUUCUUGAAAAUUUUCUAAAUAAGACUGAUGGUCAAAUGUUCGACACAAAAACCGA
rnacentral:pre_miRNA from 1 species